CAUAAGUUGAAAACCCCUAAUCGAUUUCUAGCCCAGCCGCUCUUCCAGAUCCACACCGUUUCUUCCAUUAAAUCUCUAUCGCUCAUAUGGUGUAAUUUGGUGAACAAUUUCCUAUUUCUAGACGUCCCGUCCAACAACCUUCCAACUAUGUCUCCGGUUCUUUAGCCUUAUAAUGCUACUCACAUAUUUGAUGCAUUUGUCUUAUGGAUCUGUUCACAGUUUUUCCCCCACCAUCAAACACUUUGUAUCCUUCCGCUUAUCACCACGACGAACUGCCACAAAUAAUAUCACCUUCUCCCCCACCAUGACCUCACACAUUGGACAAUACCUCUCUUAACUCUAUAUCCGCUACUAAAACCCUAAUCCUUCCCACAAGCCAAACACUUGACGUCGCUGCUCAUUCACCUUUAUCUCUCUCUGAAACUUCAUGGCUGCUAUUCCUAUCUACCACCAAGGCUGAUUGAACGACGAGUUAGAGUUUUUAUCAUCUAAUGAGCAGUCAGCUUUUACUAAAAUUUUAAGUCAACCAUUGCCACCAUCUACUAUGGUCACCAUGUUAUUCACCAUACCAAGCAACCAUCACGUACUACCUUCACCCUAAAGGAAGCAUAUCUCAGAGGUUCAAUUUAAUCUCAAGCGUUACACUCCUGAAUAUCUAGAAGAAAUCCUUUAUCACGUUCGAAAUCCACAUAUUACUAAGUCUAUUUGUUGAUUUUUCUUUCAAAUCUCAACUAUGUUUUUUUUGUGGUUCGAAAAAUGAUUUUCAGAUCUGGAUGAAAAUCAACUUAAAGGGAACAAAAAGGGUUUGAAUAAGUUUUAGCAAAUUGCAUUAGGUAGCAAGCUAUUACUUUUCCAUCUUCACAUAUGUUUCUUUUAUAUAUUUUGGUUUAUAGUAAUGAAACCAAUUUUAAAGAAUGUGUUUUCCGUUUAUAAUAGUUCUUAUGGACCUUUUGACUUUUGUUGCAGGUUUUUGAGUCCUCCACCUACAAACAUGAACAUAACUGAUUUUAAUUUUUCUGUGCAGAUUUGGGCAUUUCUUUACUGAUAUGCAACCAUGAGGCUUAAUGUAAUUAGGUAUACAAUUUUUUGUUUUAUUUAUAUUUUGUAGUCUAAGAUUAGCUUUGUUUUAUGGAAAAAUGGGUUCAUUUUAGGUUCAGAUCUAUUUUAUAGUAAUUAUUAGUUGUAGAUAUGUUUUAAGAUAAACUUUCUUCAAUUUGGUCCUUUUUUACGAGGUUUCAAAGGUGUAGUUGUUAGAUGUGGUUCAAGUGAAGGCUAUUAAUCUUGCCUGAAUUUGCAACUUUGAUAUUUGAAUUUAUUAGCAUACACGUGAACAUACAUCAAAAGAUUGUAUCUGAGCAUCAGAUUGUGGAUCCAACUUUGUUUUUGCAGAAGACCCACAAGAUAAAAAGGUACUUUGGAAAGUUAGUUUACCUCUUUAAUCUUUUUGAUUUAAAAAAAAAUAGUAUCUUAAAAGUUUCUUUUUUGCCCCUUUGUCUUUCUAGAUAAGGAAAAAUGCUCUGUAUGCCUUCUUUGCAAUGUCACAUGGUUUUGAAGCAAUGCCAACAGUUAAUUUCAAUACACUUCCUGUCAAUAAGAAAUCAACAACUAUUUAUUUUUUAGUGCUUGAUUAUGUAUGCAAUUCUCAUAUCAUGACUUAUAAACAGAGACAAAUUGGAUAUUCUAUUUGUGAUUAUGACAACUUUGCCCCUACAAGAUCACAUUGCAGGUUCUGAAUUUCAUAGUUAUGUUUGAUUAUAUUGAUGAUCGCAUGCUGAAGAUACUUUGUUCCAUCAUAAAUCACUUGGCCUGCUACUGCCAUGGACAUGGACACUUCAUAUUAUCAUCAUAGUUACCCUUGGUUUUUUACUUUAAGUUUUAAAUCUCCCAAUUCUUUCAUAUUUCCUUGUUUUUUGUUAAUUACCUAACAAUAUUCACGUUGAUCAUU